rnacentral:rRNA from 1 species
ACGCUCGACACCUACGGAGGCAGCAGUGGGGAAUAUUGCACAAUGGGGGAAACCCUGAUGCAGCGACGCCGCGUGAGCGAAGAAGUAUUUCGGUAUGUAAAGCUCUAUCAGCAGGGAAGAAUAAUGACGGUACCUGACUAAAGAACGCUCCGGCUAAAUACGUGCCAGCAGCCGCGGUAAUCUGAGGCGGGCUGGCAAGGC